rnacentral:rRNA from 1 species
AACGAACGCUGGCGGCAUGCCUAACACAUGCAAGUCGAACGAGAUCUUCGGGUCUAGUGGCGCACGGGUGCGUAACGCGUGGGAAUCUGCCCUUUGGUUCGGAAUAACAGUUGGAAACGACUGCUAAUACCGGAUGAUGACGAAAGUCCAAAGAUUUAUCGCCAGAGGAUGAGCCCGCGUAGGAUUAGCUAGUUGGUGUGGUAAAGGCGCACCAAGGCGACGAUCCUUAGCUGGUCUGAGAGGAUGAUCAGCCACACUGGGACUGAGACACGGCCAAGACUCCUACGGGAGGCAGGAGUGGGGAAUAUUGGACAGUGGGCGAAAGCCGGAUCCAGCAAGGCCGCGUGAGUGAUGAAGGCCUUAGGGUUGUAAAGCUCUUCUCCCCGGGAUGAUAAUGACAGUACCGGGAGAAUAAGCUCCGGCUAACUCCGGGCAAGCCGCCGCGGUAA